rfam:Enterobacter cloacae SCF1, complete genome.
AACGAUGGUGGGCUGGACGAGGGCUUCUUUUGAAGCGCCGAUAUUCGUUACGGGUCGGUACGCCAACCUUGUUCAGUCCGCCUCCAGA